CACGUAGGGCGCAAGCGUUGUCCGGAAUUAUUGGGCGUAAAGAGCUCGUAGGCGGUCUGUUGCGUCCGCUGUGAAAACUCGGGGCUUAACCCCGAGCCUGCAGUGGAUACGGGCAGACUAGAGGUAGGUAGGGGAGAAUGGAAUUCCCGGUGUAGCGGUGAAAUGCGCAGAUAUCGGGAGGAACACCGGUGGCGAAGGCGGUUAUCUGGGCCUUAACUGACGCUGAGGAGCGAAAGCGUGGGGAGCGAACAGG
rnacentral:rRNA from 1 species